AUGGUGUUCAUUGACUUGGAGAAGGCCUAUGAUAAGAUACCGCGGAAUGUCAUGUGGUGGGCCUUGGAGGAACACAAAGUCCCAGCAAAGUACAUUACCCUCAUCAAGGACAUGUACGAUAAUGUUGUGACAAGUGUUCGAACAAGUGAUGUCGACACUGAUGACUUCCCGAUUAAGAUAGGACUGCAUCAGGGGUCAGCUUUGAGCCCUUAUCUUUUUGCAUUGGUGAUGGAUGAGGUCACAAGGGAUAUACAAGGAGAUAUCCCAUGGUGUAUGCUCUUUGCGGAUGAUGUGGUGCUAGUUGACGAUAGUCGGGCGGGGGUAAAUAGGAAGUUAGAGUUAUGGAGACAAACCUUGGAAUCGAAAGGGUUUAGGCUUAGUAGGACUAAAACCGAGUACAUGAUGUGCGGUUUUAGUACUACUAGGUGUGAGGAGGAGGAGGUUAGCCUUGAUGGUCAGGUGGUACCUCGGAAGGACACCUUUCGGUAUUUGGGGUCAAUGCUGCAGGAGGAUGGGGGUAUUGAUGAAGAUGUGAACCAUCGGAUCAAAGCCGGAUGGAUGAAGUGGCGCCAAGCUUCUGGCAUUCUCUGUGACAAGAGAGUGCCACAAAAGCUAAAAGGCAAGUUCUACAGGACGGCGGUUCGACCCGCAAUGUUGUAUGGCGCUGAGUGUUGGCCGACUAAAAGGCGACAUGUUUAA
rnacentral:rRNA from 1 species